AGAUUUUCUGAGAUAGUUGGAAGCCCUUAUUACAUGGCUCCAGAAGUUUUAAAACGGAAUUAUGGACCAGAAAUUGAUAUAUGGAGUGCUGGAGUUAUACUCUAUAUCUUACUGUGUGGAGUUCCACCAUUUUGGGCUGAAACUGAACAGGGAGUUGCAAAGCAAGGCAGUCUUUCAUGAUCUUUCAUGAUUCACAUAUUCAAAGUUUUUAUUUUACAAAUCUCAAGUACUCCAGAGUUGAAAUUGAUGAAGUGCGGUUCGAGUGGGCUG